rnacentral:rRNA from 1 species
UGGGGAAUAUUGGACAAUGGGCGCAAGCCUGAUCCAGCCAUGCCGCGUGAGUGACGAAGGUCUUCGGAUUGUAAAGCUCUUUUGGCGGGGACGAUAAUGACGGUACCCGCAGAAUAAGCCCCGGCUAACUUCGUGCCAGCAGCCGCGGUAAUACGAAGGGGGCUAGCGUUGUUCGGAAUUACUGGGCGUAAAGCGCACGUAGGCGGACUGAUAAGUCAGGGGUGAAAUCCCGGGGCUCAACCUCGGAACUGCCUUUGAUACUGUUAGUCUCGAGUCCGGAAGAGGUGAGUGGAAUUCCUAGUGUAGAGGUGAAAUUCGUAGAUAUUAGGAAGAACACCAGUGGCGAAGGCGGCUCACUGGUCCGGUACUGACGCUGAGGU